UGGGGAAUUUUGCGCAAUGGGCGAAAGCCUGACGCAGCAACGCCGCGUGAGUGAUGAAGGCCUUUGGGUCGUAAAGCUCUGUCAGGAGGAACGAAGUGUGCAGCGUUAACAGCGCUGGAUUUGACGGUACCUCCAAAGGAAGCACCGGCUAACUCCGUGCCAGCAGCCGCGGUAAUACGGAGGGUGCAAGCGUUGUUCGGAUUUAUUGGGCGUAAAGGGCGUGUAGGCGGUCUGUUAAGUCUGAUGUGAAAGCCCCGGGCUCAACCUGGGAAGUGCAUUGGAAACUGAUAGACUUGAGUACGGGAGAGGGCAGUGGAAUUCCCAGUGUAGGAGUGAAAUCCGUAGAUAUUGGGAGGAACACCGGUGGCGAAGGCGGCUGCCUGGACCGAUACUGACGCUGAGACGCGAAAGCGUGGGGAGCAAACA
rnacentral:rRNA from 1 species